GACGUAGGGCGCGAGCGUUGUCCGGAUUUAUUGGGCGUAAAGAGCUCGUAGGCGGCUUGUCGCGUCGAAUGUGAAAACUCGGGGCUCAACCCCGCGCUUGCAUUCGAUACGGGCAGGCUCGAGUUCGGUAGGGGAGACUGGAAUUCCUGGUGUAGCGGUGAAAUGCGCAGAUAUCAGGAGGAACACCGAUGGCGAAGGCAGGUCUCUGGGCCACUACUGACGCUGAGAAGCGAAAGCAUGGGGAGCGAACAG
rnacentral:rRNA from 1 species